rnacentral:rRNA from 1 species
UACGAAGGGGGCUAGCGUUGUUCGGAAUUACUGGGCGUAAAGCGCACGUAGGCGGGUUGUUAAGUCAGGGGUGAAAUCCUGGAGCUCAACUCCAGAACUGCCUUUGAUACUGGCAACCUAGAGACUGGAAGAGGUUAGUGGAAUUCCCAGUGUAGAGGUGAAAUUCGUAGAUAUUGGGAAGAACACCAGUGGCGAAGGCGGCUAACUGGUCCA